AUUUUAAAAUAUUAAAUUCAUUAUCAAUUUAGUGUCUAGUAACUUGGCAUACGCAACUACAGUUUUCAUACUAAAUCCCUGAAGAUUUAAGAACAAUUACUGUGAAUUCAUCCAAAGCCAAGUCAUUAACAGGUGUUAUAGGAAUUAGAAAACUACCACCUAAGUUACAGCAAACUGGCCGACAUAAAUGUGUAAAGUACUAAAGCAAGAGAUAUACAUUCAAAUGAUUCAAUGCUAUAGCAUUUUAAAACAGACUUUACAUACCAACAAAAUUUCCAAAAUUCAUUGAAACAAUUGGGAGCAUUCACCAAUUAACAACACCAAAAUACUCUG